CAACGACUGACGCAGGAACAACUGCAGAAGGGAAUGCGAGGGAAGUUGGAAGGAGAGUCCUCAGGAAGAAAGCGUUGUAGAGCGCCGGCAAAAAGAGAGCUUUACGACCCACCAAGGGUGAAGAGAUACCACCCGAGGAGCUAAAGAGAAAUCUCGCUUUAGACGCCUGGGGAACUCGGAUUAAAUUUA
rnacentral:sRNA from 10 species